GGGUAUAUAGCUCAGGAAUAGAGCAUGUGCCUAGCAUGCACGAGGUCCUGGGUUCAAUCCUCAGUACCUCUG
rnacentral:tRNA from 1 species